CCUACGGGAGGCAGCAGUGAGGAAUAUUGGUCAAUGGACGAGAGUCUGAACCAGCCAAGCCGCGUGAAGGACGACUGCCCCAGGGGUUGUAAACUUCUUUUAUAAAGGAAUAAAACGAGGCACGUGUGCCUUUCUGCAUGUACUUGAUGAAUAAGGAUCGGCUAACUCCGUGCCAGCAGCCGCGGUAAUACGGAGGAUGCGAGCGUUAUCCGGAUUUAUUGGGUUUAAAGGGUGCGUAGGUUGGUUUUUAAGUCAGGGGGUAAAGCUCGUGGCUCAACCAUCGAAGUGCCGUUGAUACUGGCUGGCUGGAAUGUGUAUGAGGUAGGCGGAAUGCGUGGUGUAGCGGUGAAAUGCAUAGAUAUCACACAGAACUCCGAUUGCGAAGGCAGCUUACUAAGCCAUAACUGACGCUGAAGCACGAAAGCGUGGGGAUCAAACAGGAUUAGAUACCCUAGUAGUC
rnacentral:rRNA from 1 species